rnacentral:tRNA from 1 species
GGAGACGUGUCAGAGUGGUCUAACGUGCCUCUUUGCUAAAGAGGUGUACCCCUUAAAAGGUACCGAGGGUUCGAAUCCCUCCGUCUCCG